rnacentral:rRNA from 1 species
CCCGCGCCCCGUAAAACGGGACGGCCCGCCCGAGGACCCCUAAACUCUGUUUUUAGUGGAACUUCUGAGUAAAACAAACAAAUAAAUCAAAACUUUCAACAACGGAUCUCUUGGUUCUGGCAUCGAUGAAGAACGCAGCAAAAUGCGAUAAGUAAUGUGAAUUGCAGAAUUCAGUGAAUCAUCGAAUCUUUGAACGCACAUUGCGCCCGCCAGUAUUCUGGCGGGCAUGCCUGUUCGAGCGUCAUUUCAACCCUCAAGCUCAGCUUGGUGUUGGGACUCGCGGUUAACCCGCGUUCCCCAAAUCGAUUGGCGGUCACGUCGAGCUUCCAUAGCGUAGUAAUCAUACACCUCGUUACUGGUAAUCGUCGCGGCCACGCCGUAAAACCCCAACUUCUGAAUGUUGACCUCGGAUCAGGUAGGAAUACCCGCUGAACUUAAGC